rnacentral:rRNA from 1 species
GACGAACGCUGGCGGCGUGCUUAACACAUGCAAGUCGAACGAUGAAGAAGAGAAACGCGAACUUCGGUUCAACUUUCACUUCGGAUUAGUGGCAGACGGGUGAGUAACGCGUGAGCAACCUACCUCUUACAAAGGGAUAGCCUCGGGAAACCGUGAUUAAUACCAUAUGACACAUUCAUAAGGCAUCUUAAGAAUGUUAAAGCUACGGCGGUAAGAGAUGGGCUCGCGUCCCAUUAGCUAGUUGGUGAUGUAACGGCCCACCAAGGCGACGAUGGUUAACCGGCGUGAGAGGGUGAACGGUCACAUUGAAACUGAGAAACAGUCAGAACUCCUACGGGAGGGAGGAGAGAGGCAUAUUGCACAAUGGAGGGAAUUCUGAAGCAGCGACGCCGCGUAAGCGAUGAAGGAAUUCGUUUAGUAAAGCUCUGUUCUAUGGGAAGAAAAGGACUGUACCAAAGGAGAAAGCCACGGCUAAAUACGUG